rnacentral:rRNA from 1 species
CAGCAGCCACGGGAAUACGUAGGGUGCAAGCGUUGACCGGAAUUAUUGGGCGUAAAGGGCUCGCAGGCGGUUUCUUAGGUCUGAUGUGAAAGCCCCCGGCUCAACCGGGGAGGGUCAUUGGAAACUGGGAAACUUGAGUGCAGAAGAGGAGAGUGGAAUUCCACGUGUAGUGGUGAAAUGCGUAGAGAUGUGGAGGAACACCAGUGGCGAAGGCGACUCUCUGGUCUGUAACUGACGCUGAGGAGCGAAAGCGUGGGGAGCGAACAGGAUUAGAUACCCCCGUAGUCCCUGUCUCUUAUAC